rnacentral:misc_RNA from 1 species
GAUGAAGAACGUAGCGAAAUGCGAUACGUAAUGUGAAUUGCAGAAUUCAGUGAAUCAUCGAGUCUUUGAACGCACAUUGCGCCCCCUGGUAUUCCGGGGGGCAUGCCUGUCCGAGCGUCAUUGCUGCCCUCAAGCACGGCUUGUGUGUUGGGCCUCCGUCCUCCUCCCGGGGCACGGGCCCGAAAGGCAGCGGCGGCACCGCGUCCGGUCCUCGAGCGUAUGGGGCUUCGUCACCCGCUCUUGUAGGCCCGGCCGGCGCUUGCCGACACAUCAAUCUUUUUUCCAGGUUGACCUCGGAUCAGGUAGGGAUACCCGCUGAACUUAAGCAUAUCAAUAAGCGGAGGA